rnacentral:rRNA from 1 species
UAGGGAAUAUUAGUAAUGGGCGAAAGCCUGAACUAGCAACACCGCGUGUGCGAAGAAGGCCUUCGGGUUGUAAAGCACUUUUUGAGAGGAUGAGGAAGGACGGUACUCUCAGGAUAAGUCUCGGCUAACUACGUGCCAGCAGCCGCGGUAACACGUAGGAGGCGAACGUUAUCCGGAUUUAUUGGGCGUAAAGCGCGUGUAGGUGGUUUGGUAAGUAGAGCGUGAAAGCUCCUGGCUCAACUGGGAGAGGUCGUUCUAAACUGCCAGACUAGAGGAUGGUAGAGGGGGGUGGAAUUCCGGGUGUAGCGGUGGAAUGCGCAGAUAUCCGGAGGAACACCAGUGGCGAAAGCGGCCUCCUGGACCACUCCUGACACUCAGACGCGAAAGCUAGGGUAGCAAACG